UGGUGGGGUGACCCGUCUGGUUAAUUUCGAUAACGAACGAGAUCCGAGCUGUUUAGUUGGCUAACUCCACUUCUGUGGUGUUAUGUCUCCUAUAUGGACUGUCAGUUUGAGGCUGAAGGAAGUUUCGGGCUAAAUCA
rnacentral:rRNA from 1 species